rnacentral:rRNA from 1 species
GGAUUGAAGGCUGAAAUUCGCCUUCAUGAAGCUGGAAUUGCUAGUAAUGGCAGGUCAGCAUACUGCCGUGAAUACGUUCCCGGGCCUUGUACACACCGCCCGUCACACCAUGAGAGUUGGGAAUACCCGAAGCCUGUGAGCUAACUUUUAGAGGCAGCAGUCGAAGGUAGAAUCAAUGAUUGGGGUGAAGUCGUAACAAGGUACC